rnacentral:lncRNA from 1 species
UUGUCACUUUUAUCAUUGUCCCCAUCAGAUCUUCUGAGUGUCCACCGUGAAGAGUUGCAUAGUUACUGCCUUCUUUCCUGGGAAUCUUAAGGUAGCAUCUUCCUGUAACAGCCAGCCCACAACAAAGAAGCCUACCAGGAAAAUGAAAAGUCUCUCUCCAUCAAGAGCCAAGUCAGGAGAAGGGGGAGUGGGCACAAGGAAGCAGGACAUGGACACUCAAGAAGUUCAAGGUGUCACCUUGGAAUUUCACAGCAGAAUUAUUGCCGCAAAAAUUGAAUAUUUCUGUCCAGUCAUAGAUA